GACGAACGCUGGCGGCGUGCCUAAUACAUGCAAGUAGAACGCAGUUGCGAACGGGUGAGUAACGCGUAGGUAACCUGCCUCAUAGCGGGGGAUAACUAUUGGAAACGAUAGCUAAUACCGCAUACUGUGAGAUGGACCUGCGUUGUAUUAGCUAGUUGGUUAGGUAAAGGCUCACCAAGGCGACGAUACAUAGCCGACCUGAGAGGGUGAUCGGCCACACUGGAACUGAGACACGGUCCAGACUCCUACGGGAGGCAGCAGUGGGGAAUAUUGCACAAUGGGCGCAAGCCUGAUGCAGCCAUGCCGCGUGUAUGAAGAAGGCCUUCGGGUUGUAAAGUACUUUCAGCAGGGAGGCGUUACCUGCACAAGAAGCCCCGGCUAACUCCGUGCCAGCAGCCGCGGUAAUUC
rnacentral:rRNA from 1 species